rnacentral:rRNA from 1 species
GGGUAACCUAACCUAUGCAGGGGAAUAACCUCGGGAAACUGAGUAUAAUGCCCCAUAGUCCACUACGCCUGGAACGGUGAGUGGAUCAAAGCUCAGGCGGCAUAGGAUGGGCCUGCGGCGUAUCAGGUCGUAGGGGGUGUAAAGUACCCUCUAGCCAUCUACGCGUACGGGUGUUGGGAGACAUAGCCCGGAGAUGGAUUCUGAGACACGAAUCCAGACCCUACGGGGUGCAGCAGGCGCGAAAACUUGACAAUGCGAGCAAUCGUGAUCAGGGAACUCCAAGUGGCUGGGGUAAGACCCAGUCUUUUCAUAACUCUUCAAAGGUUGUAGAAUAAGGGGUGGGUAAGGACGGUGCCAGCCGCCGCGGUAAUACCGGCGCCUCAAGUGGUAGUCGCUUUUAUUGGGCCUAAAACGUCCGUAGCCGGUUUGGUACAUUCGUGGGUAAAUCAACUCGCUCAACGAGUUGAAUUCUGCGAGGACGGCCAGACUUGGGACCGGGAGAGGUGUGGGGUACUCUCAGGGUAGGGGUAAAAUCCUGUCAUCCUGAGAGGACCACCUGUUGCGAAGGCGCCACACUAGAACGGAUCCGACGGUCAGGGACGAAGCCUAGGGGCACGAACCGGAUUAGAUACCCGGGUAGUCCUAGGUGUAAACGCUGUGGACUUGAUGUUGGAGAAGCUCCGAGCUUCUUCAGUGUCGAAGCGAACGUGAUAAGUCCACUGCCUGGGAAGUACGGUCGCAAGGCUGAAACUU